UGAAUUCCAAGAUUUUUUUGUGAAC
rnacentral:piRNA from 1 species